GACGAACGCUGGCGGCGUGCUUAACACAUGCAAGUCGAACGGAAAGGCCCUGCUUUUGUGGGGUGCUCGAGUGGCGAACGGGUGAGUAACACGUGAGUAACCUGCCCUUGACUUUGGGAUAACUUCAGGAAACUGGGGCUAAUACCGGAUAGGAGUUCCUGCUUAAUGGUGGGGGUUGGAAAGUUUCGGCGGUUGGGGAUGGACUCGCGGCUUAUCAGCUUGUUGGUGGGGUAGUGGCUUACCAAGGCAUUGACGGGUAGCCGGCCUGAGAGGGUGACCGGCCACAUUGGGACUGAGAUACGGCCCAGACUCCUACGGGAGGCAGCAGUGGGGAAUAUUGCACAAUGGGCGGAAGCCUGAUGCAGCAACGCCGCGUGCGGGAUGACGGCCUUCGGGUUGUAAACCGCUUUCGCCUGUGACGAAGCGUGAGUGACGGUAAUGGGUAAAGAAGCACCGGCUAACUACGUG
rnacentral:rRNA from 1 species